CGGGCAGGGGGGUUCCUGUCGAACGGCAGGGCCUGUCCGCUUCGGGUUGUGUGCGACACGUCAGGCGCGACCCGUGGUUGUCGCUCGGGGGUGAUCGCCG
rnacentral:sRNA from 25 species